GGGUUGUGAGGUUAAGCGACUAAGCGUACACGGUGGAUGCCCUGGCAGUCAGAGGCGAUGAAGGACGUGCUAAUCUGCGAUAAGCGUCGGUAAGGUGAUAUGAACCGUUAUAACCGGCGAUUUCCGAAUGGGGAAACCCAGUGUGUUUCGACACACUAUCAUUAACUGAAUCCAUAGGUUAAUGAGGCGAACCGGGGGAACUGAAACAUCUAAGUACCCCGAGGAAAAGAAAUCAACCGAGAUUCCCCCAGUAGCGGCGAGCGAACGGGGAGGAGCCCAGAGCCUGAAUCAGUGUGUGUGUUAGUGGAAGCGUCUGGAAAGGCGCGCGAUACAGGGUGACAGCCCCGUACACAAAAAUGCACAUAUUGUGAGCUCGAUGAGUAGGGCGGGACACGUGGUAUCCUGUCUGAAUAUGGGGGGACCAUCCUCCAAGGCUAAAUACUCCUGACUGACCGAUAGUGAACCAGUACCGUGAGGGAAAGGCGAAAAGAACCCCGGCGAGGGGAGUGAAAAAGAACCUGAAACCGUGUACGUACAAGCAGUGGGAGCCUCUUUAUGGGGUGACUGCGUACCUUUUGUAUAAUGGGUCAGCGACUUAUAUUCUGUAGCAAGGUUAACCGAAUAGGGGAGCCGAAGGGAAACCGAGUCUUAACUGGGCGUUAAGUUGCAGGGUAUAGACCCGAAACCCGGUGAUCUAGCCAUGGGCAGGUUGAAGGUUGGGUAACACUAACUGGAGGACCGAACCGACUAAUGUUGAAAAAUUAGCGGAUGACUUGUGGCUGGGGGUGAAAGGCCAAUCAAACCGGGAGAUAGCUGGUUCUCCCCGAAAGCUAUUUAGGUAGCGCCUCGUGAAUUCAUCUCCGGGGGUAGAGCACUGUUUCGGCAAGGGGGUCAUCCCGACUUACCAACCCGAUGCAAACUGCGAAUACCGGAGAAUGUUAUCACGGGAGACACACGGCGGGUGCUAACGUUCGUCGUGAAGAGGGAAACAACCCAGACCGCCAGCUAAGGUCCCAAAGUCAUGGUUAAGUGGGAAACGAUGUGGGAAGGCCCAGACAGCCAGGAUGUUGGCUUAGAAGCAGCCAUCAUUUAAAGAAAGCGUAAUAGCUCACUGGUCGAGUCGGCCUGCGCGGAAGAUGUAACGGGGCUAAACCAUGCACCGAAGCUGCGGCAGCGACACUAAGUGUUGUUGGGUAGGGGAGCGUUCUGUAAGCCUGUGAAGGUGUACUGUGAGGUAUGCUGGAGGUAUCAGAAGUGCGAAUGCUGACAUAAGUAACGAUAAAGCGGGUGAAAAGCCCGCUCGCCGGAAGACCAAGGGUUCCUGUCCAACGUUAAUCGGGGCAGGGUGAGUCGACCCCUAAGGCGAGGCCGAAAGGCGUAGUCGAUGGGAAACAGGUUAAUAUUCCUGUACUUGGUGUUACUGCGAAGGGGGGACGGAGAAGGCUAUGUUGGCCGGGCGACGGUUGUCCCGGUUUAAGCGUGUAGGCUGGUUUUCCAGGCAAAUCCGGAAAAUCAAGGCUGAGGCGUGAUGACGAGGCACUACGGUGCUGAAGCAACAAAUGCCCUGCUUCCAGGAAAAGCCUCUAAGCAUCAGGUAACAUCAAAUCGUACCCCAAACCGACACAGGUGGUCAGGUAGAGAAUACCAAGGCGCUUGAGAGAACUCGGGUGAAGGAACUAGGCAAAAUGGUGCCGUAACUUCGGGAGAAGGCACGCUGAUAUGUAGGUGAAGCGACUUGCUCGUGGAGCUGAAAUCAGUCGAAGAUACCAGCUGGCUGCAACUGUUUAUUAAAAACACAGCACUGUGCAAACACGAAAGUGGACGUAUACGGUGUGACGCCUGCCCGGUGCCGGAAGGUUAAUUGAUGGGGUUAGCGCAAGCGAAGCUCUUGAUCGAAGCCCCGGUAAACGGCGGCCGUAACUAUAACGGUCCUAAGGUAGCGAAAUUCCUUGUCGGGUAAGUUCCGACCUGCACGAAUGGCGUAAUGAUGGCCAGGCUGUCUCCACCCGAGACUCAGUGAAAUUGAACUCGCUGUGAAGAUGCAGUGUACCCGCGGCAAGACGGAAAGACCCCGUGAACCUUUACUAUAGCUUGACACUGAACAUUGAGCCUUGAUGUGUAGGAUAGGUGGGAGGCUUUGAAGUGUGGACGCCAGUCUGCAUGGAGCCGACCUUGAAAUACCACCCUUUAAUGUUUGAUGUUCUAACGUUGGCCCCUGAUCGGGGUUGCGGACAGUGUCUGGUGGGUAGUUUGACUGGGGCGGUCUCCUCCUAAAGAGUAACGGAGGAGCACGAAGGUUGGCUAAUCCUGGUCGGACAUCAGGAGGUUAGUGCAAUGGCAUAAGCCAGCUUGACUGCGAGCGUGACGGCGCGAGCAGGUGCGAAAGCAGGUCAUAGUGAUCCGGUGGUUCUGAAUGGAAGGGCCAUCGCUCAACGGAUAAAAGGUACUCCGGGGAUAACAGGCUGAUACCGCCCAAGAGUUCAUAUCGACGGCGGUGUUUGGCACCUCGAUGUCGGCUCAUCACAUCCUGGGGCUGAAGUAGGUCCCAAGGGUAUGGCUGUUCGCCAUUUAAAGUGGUACGCGAGCUGGGUUUAGAACGUCGUGAGACAGUUCGGUCCCUAUCUGCCGUGGGCGCUGGAGAACUGAGGGGGGCUGCUCCUAGUACGAGAGGACCGGAGUGGACGCAUCACUGGUGUUCGGGUUGUCAUGCCAAUGGCACUGCCCGGUAGCUAAAUGCGGAAGAGAUAAGUGCUGAAAGCAUCUAAGCACGAAACUUGCCCCGAGAUGAGUUCUCCCUGAGACUUUAAGUCUCCUGAAGGAACGUUGAAGACGACGACGUUGAUAGGCCGGGUGUGUAAGCGCAGCGAUGCGUUGAGCUAACCGGUACUAAUGAACCGUGAGGCUUAACCUUACAACGCCGAAGGUGUUU
rnacentral:rRNA from 1 species